GACGAACGCUGGCGGCGUGCUUAACACAUGCAAGUCGAACGGGCCCGCUCUCUUUUUUGGGGUUGGGUUGAGUGGCGAACGGGUGAGUAACACGUGAGUAACCUGCCCCCUGCUCCUGGAUAACUGCUUGAAAGGGCGGCUAAUACGGGGUGUGCCUGCUGGUCCGCAUGGGUCUGGUCGGGAUAGUUUCAUCUUCGGGAGUUUUGGUGGGGGAUGGGCUCGCGGCCUAACAGCUUGUAGGUGCGGUGAUGGCCAACCAAGGCCGUGAGGGGUAGCCGGAGUGGGAGAGUGGCCGGCCCGGCUGGGAGUGAGACACGGGCCACACACCGGAGGGAGGCAGCGGUGAGGGGUAUUGCAGAGUGGGAGGAAGACUGAUGCAGCGACGUCGCGUGAAGAAUGGCGGCCUUCGGGUUGUGAACCUCUUUCUCGAGUGGUGAAGGCGCUGGCAGCUGCGGCGGGGUUGACGGUAGCCGAGUAUGAAGCGACGGCUAACUACGUG
rnacentral:rRNA from 1 species